UACGUAGGCAGCGAGCGUUGUUCGGAGUUACUGGGCGUAAAGAGUGCGUAGGCGGUGCGGUAAGUUUGGUGUGAAAUCUCCCGGCUCAACUGGGAGGGUGCGCCGAAGACUGCCGUGCUGGAGUGUGGGAGAGGUAAGCGGAAUUCCUGGUGUAGCGGUGAAAUGCGUAGAUAUCAGGAGGAACACCUGUGGUGUAGACAGCUUACUGGACCACCACUGACGCUGAGGCACGAAAGCGUGGGUAGCAAACAGGAUUAGAUACCCCCGUAGUCC
rnacentral:rRNA from 1 species